rnacentral:rRNA from 1 species
AUAAUUAUAAGUAUGUAAAUACUAUUUCGCGAAGUUGAGGGAGCUAACAGUGACAUAUUAUUAGAGUAAAGAUGUAGCAUAAUUAAUAAUAGUAACAGUUAGGGGUGAUAGGCUUAACACACUCAACGAUAACUUGAUUUCUCGGAAAGCUAUUUAGUAUUUAGUUAAUUUGAGAGUGCAAAGGCUCGCAAAAUAAACAAAAUAUUUCUAUUAUUUGUCAAGGUGUAAAGGCUUUUGAUAUUUCAUAUUAACAUAACAAUAUUUUGGUUUGUUUAAAAUAUGAGAAAGUAUAUUAACAUAAGUGAUAUUUAUAAUGUUAUUAUUAGUAGUUAGUAAUGUGUUUUAAAUGAACUCGGCAAAAAGUCCCUUAACUGUUUAUCAAAAACAUAGCCAUAUGGUAAUAUAUAUGGUGUUUUCUGCUCCAUGAGAUAAUUAAAUAGCCGCAGUACAUUGACUGUGCAAAGGUAGCGCAAUCAAUUGACUUUUAAUUGAAGUCCUGUAUGAAAGAACUAAUAGGGGGUAACUGUCUCGAAGAUAUUUCGCAAACUUGCUGAGUAAGUGAAAAUUCUUACAUAUAAUUAAUAGACGAGAAGACCCUAGAAAUUUUAAGAAUUUAAUCCUGAGUCUUUUUGUUGGGGCAACAUAGUAACAGAUAAUCUACUAAUGAACACGAAAGGUUUGCCUAGUAUGAUUAAAUUACUCUAGGGAUAACAGCAUAAUUUAUGAUAAGUUUGUGACCUCGAUGUUGGAUUAGGGAAUUGAUAUUUAAAAG